GAAAAGCUGAUAUAUCAAGGUUAACUCAUAGGAAUUAUGCUAUGGCACUCAAAACAAGCUUGACAAGCUCAAAAUUCAAAAAACAGGUGUAAUAAACAACCUCUGAAUGGUCAAAUUUUCAUAAGCACAAGUUCGGUCUUCGGUCACGGAUUGAAGAUCAUUCACAAAUGAUUAAAUGUGUACCCUUUAAAGGGUAGAUCCUCAACUAUGCAUAUGUUAUGCACAACCAGAUUUUGAUUACCAAAUUCAUCAUCAUCAUGAGGCCUUAUCCCAAUUAUUUGAGGUCGUAUCAGCUGUAGAUUACACAUUAAAUAUGCUAAAAAGUAGACCAGCAUACCUGGUCCCAAAAUUCUCUCACUGAGCUUCAGUUAGACCAAUGCACAUAUAUAACUAGGUUUAUGGCUGCCGCCGAAGCAUAGGUUAAUGAAUUUCUCUUCAAUGGAAACACUUUCUAGAAAUGUAUAUAUAACAUUCUCAUAAGCAUACUGCAUUUUGAAAGUACCACUGAUUAGCACUGGAAAGCUCAAAAUCUCUUUUAUUCUCAAAUAAGCACCUCUUAACAGAUUUUAGAGAACUUCAGAAAAUUGAACAUGCAACACACGAGGUAUUUCUUGCUACAAACUGAUAAUGUUUCAUAAAGGCCUGCUUGCCACCUAAUCUAUGGUUUUACAAGAUACGCCAUCAGAUGGCAUGUAAGCAAUGUUGGAAAAGUCACUAGGCGUUGCCUAGGCGAUGGGAGAGCUAGGCCACCUAGGCGAGCACCCAAAGGCACGGGUGCCCAAUUGUCGAAAAAAAAAAGAAAUUCUAGGGUUUGGUUAAAUACAAAACCCCGUGGAUAUUUUACAAGAUAUUCAAAUUUUCAAACUACUUGCAAUCCAUAUUCUAAAGUUGUAAAAAAUUCACAAAUUAUAAAAACAUGAUAAACAAAACCAAACUAUACCAAUCUAUAUUCUGAAAAUGUACAAAAUCAUAAACAGAUAAAUAUAAAAUAUAAUGAAUGAGAA
rnacentral:lncRNA from 1 species